ensembl:lncRNA
CCUUAAUACCAAGUGAACCAUAAAUAACAAGUCCAGAAUUUCAGUUAGGGGGAGGGCAGUGAGCCUGUGUGGCUGCUUAUUGUAGCCAGAUGUGGCCUCAUUUGAUCCUCUCGCCAGUCCUGGUGGAAUAAGCAUUGUCUGCAUUUACAAGGAUGAAGAUGAGGCUUGGAGAUGUUGCCCAAAUCAAAGCUGGAACGCGCACUCACAGGGUAACUUGCAUGGAGAGAGGGCGCAGAGCAAACCAUAUCUCGCCAUCCAAUGACACCAGCUGGUCCGCUCACCACCCCCUCUGGCUAAAACUCAAGCAAAUAAAGCCGCUUCCUGUCAUUAAGCAUCUCACAGGAAGCAGCUCUCCCUCAGUGGCCUCUAGCCCAGAGAAGCCAGCACGUCUUGGACCCACCAAGCGGGCCCAGCCUUCCUGCCGCCACCAUCUCUGCUUCUCCCCAGAGGAACUUAGGGAUUUUGCCCCUGGUUUGAAAAAAAAAAAAAAACACAAAAAAAACCAACAACAAAACACCAACAAGCCACAAGGACCAAUGUAGGUAUUCUCCCCGCCCCAUCUUCCAAGGCUCAGAGGGUGAGGCUGGAAGACGAUCCGAAUUUGAAAACAAAAAUCUUUUUUUAAUCUUUUUAAAAACUGCUGUGGUUUUGCUGCUACACGAAGAGUUGUGAUUUGCAUUGUACGGUUUUGGACCUAUACUGUUCACGUUUUGACGGCGGAGAGGGAUCGUACUGGAGUCCCAAUGCUUCCAGAUUCAUCUCUGUCCUGCCCAGGAUGCACUUUUAAAUGAAGAGUUAGAAUAUUUUAUUGGCUAAUAUACUUUUCUUGUUAUUUUUACAAAGGCCACCUUUAUCCUUUUUAAUGCCAUAUUUUCAGUGUUACACUUUUAUGGCUUUUAAUUUUCGAUUUGACAGAUGUAAGAAGCAGCAUGAAUAGUUUAUACUGUGGUUUUUCAGAGACUGAAUGCCAAGAGAACUCGGUAAAUGUUUAUUCUUCUCAGCUUUCUCUUUAAAUUCCCCUAAAUAGCGCCCCAUUUGGGAACAGAGCAAGAGUGUUGAACUGAAGACCAAAAUGCCCUGAAGGUGUAAAAUAAUCCGAGGGGGAAUAUUUGCUGGGCGUCACGAAAGACUUGGAUGAAAUUUCAACCCUGAUGGUUUUCGGUGAUCCAGGAAGUCAGUGAAGCAAUCUCUCUAUACGCAGAGCCCUUUCAUGAUAAUUAGAAUGGUAUGGACAAACCAAUGAAAACAGGAGGGAAAGUGAGAAAGCUCACCCAUGAUUCUGUUUCACUGUUUGCUUUCUCCUGUCAUGGUUAAGAGAAAUGUGCAAUUCGAUCCUCAAUCAGUGGGUGGAGGAUAACAGGGUAGAUUUUCUUGUGUGCACUUGUACAGUUGUAGCUGGGAGUCCAGAAGUCCUCUAGAGCAUGUGUACUGGCACUGAGUUGGUGAGACAGUUGUGGAGUAUCCCAUUCUGAUGAGUACAGAAAAAGAAAAUAAGGGAAAAAAAAAAAAAAAAGAAGAAAACAAAAAAAAAAAAGAAAAAAAAUCAAAUCACCUUGUGAUUCAGUGUAUCUGUUUACUAACUCCAAUAAAGCAAUUGUUCCCUCUGGAGGGGUCCAGGUGCCCCUGCCCACAGGCCACCAAGCUGGCAGCAGGAGGGGGCGGGCGAGGCCAGGACGGUGUCACGCUGGCCCUGAAGCACCACGGGGCCGUGGAUGCGGUGUACAUACUGUAUUUCUAUAUCCUCCUUUGUACAGAGUCACUUAACAAGUCAAGCUACUGUCUUACAGGUGCUCCUUAUUUAUUAGAGCUGUGAGAGCUUGGGGGGACACACCUGGCGAGCGAGCUCGCUUUUUAAAAAUGAAAUGUGG